UUUAAAGGCAGUGCUUUAAGGCCUGACUUUUAAGUCAUGAGGUUCAUCUUUUCAUACGCAAUCUUUGCAGGGGGUCUUUUGGCCAGAAAUAGACCCGGAAAUGUUCGAAUUUCUCCUCUUCUUUUUAUGGUAUAAUAUGGUUUUUGUUUCUUUCAUUUACAUUGGGGACUAAAGAAACGAUCAGUGUGUAUUGUUCGUUUUAUAGAAAUUGUUAUUAGUGUGUAUUUUGCAUUAUAAGCAGUCAACCUGACUACAAACUAUCAUUAUUUGUAUAUUCCGUGUGGAAAGAGGUCGGGUCAAUUUCAAGUGUUAUCUGACAUCUAAAGAUUCUUUAAUUAGUUCAGACGUUGAUAUAACAAUGAAAAGUCGACUGAACAUGAUUAAUAUUGCAUCUUCUAUAAUUCAAAACGGAAUUCGGUUUAUGAACGAGAAACCGUAAAGCGUUUUCAAUUUCGGUAUUAGUUAUGUAUGUUAUCUACAUAUUAUCCUGGUUCCCGAUACUACGUUCCGGGUAUUAGCUAUUUGAUAUAUUUGAUGUGUAACAUUACAAUCGGGUACCAGCCAAUCUACGUGUGUAUGUGUACAUGAUUUACCGCCAAAAUGACCGACUUAAAAAAUAGUCCAUAAACGUUCCGUAUAAUGAUAUGCAAAUUCAUAAUUAAUCGUAACUUUUUUUUAUCUUUGUAUAAUAAAUAUAACAAAAUGGAUUCCACAAAAUUGAAAAUAACAUUAUUUUACGAGGAUUUCUCAUAUUUUUCUCACUUCCGGCGCAGUAAUACGUAUGUUUUGAAGAAGCUCGAAGGAUUUGACAAAGUGAAUUGAGAAGGAAACGGAUAGAUAUACGUCCUUGCUAUCAGGGCACAAACCCACUUUAAAGAGACUUGUCUACUGCCAUACCCAUCCUAUUUUCAUGCUCCAUUUGCAAGCAAGAGACUGAAUGGUUUGCAAAAUUAAAAAUCAGGACGGUGUCCAAUUUAAAACAAAAGAACUAAACUGGAUGAAUAUUGUAGGAGAAAUCUAGAGGAAAGUUUUGAUUUGUGAAAUUGGUUUUCCUGAAAAGUCAUUCAUCCUAGCCUGCAGAAAGGAACUAUAACUGUCCACCACCAACUGACGAGCUAAUGUUGAGCUUCACAUAUGGAAUUACUCAAAUACCAUCAAUGUCUAUGUUUUCAGCACAGAUUUCACAAGUUAUGACAAAGCUGUGCUUUUUUCAUACCUGUUAAAGAGUUGUAUACUAAAUUUAUUUUUUUUAUCAAUAAAUAUAUUAUUGUGUCAUUUAAGAACUUGUAUUUUGCCAAAAAAUGCAUACUAGUGAAUGAAAGUGGUGCAGUUCAUUUUGCUUUGGUAUAUAGAAUUGAAUUACAAUUGUUCAUGUUAUUGGAAUGCUUAUAAAAAUAAGGAGAUGUGGUACAAUGUAUAUGAUAUUUAGUGAGUUUAUCAAGCAAAAGUGAAUAAGAAAUAGGUAUAAGCAGUUACAGGUACAUGUACUACUGUACAAUCUCAAACUAUGAGAAAAACUCAUACCGUAAAGAGAAUUUCAUAUUUACAAGUAAGUUUUGUUUUUGUGUUGAAUAAUUUUCUUCUAUUGUUUUAAUUGCAAAUAUGGGAAGUGGUUAAAUGCUAAUGAGACAGCUGUUAUGGCCACAGAGCUUUAAUUGAAAACUUCUUUUUCAUUCAUACCGGUAGAUUUUGCCUGGAGUUAGAAACAUAUCUGCCAACUUUUCAUAUUGCACAUGCGGGUUUUACGUGAAAGAUGGUCAAUAUAGUCAUACAAAACCUUCAAGGGAGCCUUCAAAUGGAAGCAGGACAAGUUGCCCCACUGGCUAAUCGUCCCACUUUUUUAAAAACUGCCACAAACUGAUUUAUCAAAUCACCCCACAUGUGAAAUUGGUUAAAUCAUGUUUAAUAUUACUCCUGUCAACUCGCCCUACUUAUAAAAAAACGGUAAUAUUUAGAUUAAUAUAUACAAUUAAAAAUAAAAACUCGCACCACUUUAACGAAAACUAAUCUACACAGAAUACAAACAAACCAAAAAUUAAUUUAAUUACUACAUGUAUUAUUGAUAUAUACUGAAAUUAUAAUUCUAAAAAUAAAACUGAUUGUUGAAGAAUAACUGUAAGUUUUGAAGCUUAGUUAUUUGCAUAACAGUUGAAAAGAAACCAGUUAAAUGUAUCAAAAUGCAAUAUAA